GAAGAAGGCGCUCUCUAUGAUAACUUGGACCUAAGCCAUUCAAGGAUUUAAAGGCUAGAAGGAAACAAGAGAAGAGGCAGCAGCAGCAGCAAGGAGGAGGGACUGGUUGUGGUGAAGACUAACUGUUCAGAUGGCAAGGGACGGCAGAGGGAAGGAAGUCACGGUGAGGUGACGGGGGGGCAUCUUGCCGCCUCGCUGGUGCCCCAACCAUUUGCUGCCUGAGUUGACUACCUCACCUCACCUCAUCGAAGGACCACGACUAUAGAGAAUCAUAAUGAAAAUUAUAUGCAUGUUAUUUGACAUCUAAUUUAGGUAAAAUAAACAAAGCAGUUCAAAUA